GGGUGGGGGGUUCGGAGGAGACGAUGACGGUAGCCGAAGAGAGAAGAAGAGAGGAUGGUGGCCGGAGAGAGAGAAGAGAAGAGAGGUCACGGGUGGAGGGGUUUAAAGAGAGAAGAAGAUGACCGGAGGGUAAAAGGGAGAUAGAGGAGAAGAGACGGGAGGAAGAGGCAUGGAGAGGAGAAGAGAUGGGAGGAGAGAAGAGAUGGGAGGAAGAGGUGUGGAGAGGAGAAAAGAAGGGAGGAAGGGGCGCAUGUGGCCUUACAUUGCAUCCCAUUCGAAGU
rnacentral:lncRNA from 1 species